rnacentral:lncRNA from 10 species
CUCAGCUAUGAGAACAGUCUCCUAUGACUCUGCUUGUACCCAGUACGGCCCAUUUGCUCAGAAAGCUACAGCUUUCCUCUGACAUUAAAUUUCUUCCACUUCCUCAACUGACUCUGUAGCUCCUUGAUCCGCCGUCAGGCCCUCCAUUGUCAUCUCUCCAAUCAAUUCACUGUUUCUAAAACAUACCGAACUCAUUCUCACCUCAGUGUUCUGGUAUUCCUGCAACUUGGAACAUAAUUCACUUCUCCCUCCCUGCACACUUCUUCAGGCUCAGCUCA